UAGGGAAUCUUCGGCAAUGGACGAAAGUCUGACCGAGCAACGCCGCGUGAGUGAAGAAGGUUUUCGGAUCGUAAAACUCUGUUGUUAGAGAAGAACAAGGACGUUAGUAACUGAACGUCCCCUGACGGUAUCUAACCAGAAAGCCACGGCUAACUACGUGCCAGCAGCCGCGGUAAUACGUAGGUGGCAAGCGUUGUCCGGAUUUAUUGGGCGUAAAGCGAGCGCAGGCGGUUUCUUAAGUCUGAUGUGAAAGCCCCCGGCUCAACCGGGGGGGGUCAUUGGAAACUGGGAGACUUGAGUGCAGAAGAGGAAAGUGGAAUUCCAUGUGUAGCGGUGAAAUGCGUAGAUAUAUGGAGGAACAUAAGUGGCGAAGGCGGCUCACUGGUCUAUAACUGACGCUGAGGCUCGAAAGCGUGGGGAGCAAACAGG
rnacentral:rRNA from 1 species